UACGUAGGAGGCGAGCGUUGUCCGGAAUUACUGGGCGUAAAGAGCGCGUAGGCGGCACUGUACGACCGCUGUGAAAGCCCCCGGCUCAACUGGGGAGGGUCAGUGGUAACGGCAGAGCUCUGAGUGCAGGAGAGGGAAGUGGAACUCCGGGAGUAGCGGUGAAAUGCGUAGAGACCCGGAGGAACACCAGUGGCGAAGGCGGCUCCUGGU
rnacentral:rRNA from 1 species